AUUGAACGCUGGCGGCAGGCCUAACACAUGCAAGUUGAGCGGGCGACGGGCGGGUGAGUAAUGUAUGGGGACUGACCGAUAGAGGGGGGUAAAUACAGGAAACGGAGGCUAAUACCGCGUACUGUCGGAUAACCCAUAUGGGAUUAGCUAGUAGGUAAGGUAAGGGCUUACCUAGGCGACGAGCCCUAGCGGGUCUGAGAGGAUGAUCAGGCCCACUGGGAUUGAGACACGGCCCAGACUCCUACGGAGGCAGGAGUGGGGAAGAUUGCAUAGUGGGCGGGAGCCUGAUGCAGCCCUGCCGAGUGUAUGAAGAAGGCUCUAGGGUUGUAAAGUUCAUUCAGUCGGGAGGCGUUACCGACAGAAGAAGCACCGGCUAACUCCGUGCCAGCAGCCGCGGUAAUUC
rnacentral:rRNA from 1 species